GUGCGGGCCCUGUGCAACGAGACGCUGUGAACCAUGUCAGGCGGGGAACCGAGCAGCAUUAAGCAGUUUGUUUAGUGUGCCGCAGUAAGCCUGCACACC
rnacentral:SRP_RNA from 1 species